rnacentral:lncRNA from 1 species
CCUAGUAUACAAGUCAAUUGUGUUUUGAAUGCAAAUCAUUUGUGCCUAGAGUACGAGUUAGUUGUGCUUUUGGUGUAAGUUGAUUGUGCUAUAAAUGCAAAUCAUAUAUACCUAGGAUGCAAGUCAGUUGUGUUUUGAGUGCAAGUUAAGAUGUGCCCAGGGUACAAGUCAGUUGUGAUAUCGGUGCAAGUUAUCUGUAUUGCGGGUGCAAGUUAGCACUGUCGUGGGUACAAGUUAAUUGUGCCAUGAGUGCAAAUUAACUAUAUCGAUAUAUUUGCACAAAAUACAAAAAGGGUAAUGUUAAGACUGGCUCGAGCCCCUGGUAUUACCACGGGCUCGCCUACGUGGCGCGCCUAUAUCCACCGAUUUGGGGGUGGACCCCAUUUAAAAACAAAAAUAGUGGAGUUCAUCCACAAAUGAGUGGAUGUGGGCCCGCCACAUAAACGAGCCCGUAGUAAUACCACGGGUUCGAGGCCGUCUUAACAGCUCUCAUACAAAAAUCCCAUUCAGAGCGGUGAUGGAAUUGUUGGGGCCUUUGGGAUCCUUUUAAUGAUGUAUAUAUUAAAAUCGUUUUCAAUAAAAAUAUUUAUUUGUUUAAAAAUCAUUUAACACAGUUUUUAAAGUACAAGUAAACACAAAAAAUAUUUUUUAUUUUUUAAUAUGUAAUUCUGUUUUUUUUAAGUUUUCUAUUUUAGGAAAAAAGUAGUCCCCCUGAUGAACACUAUUGUGUGAAAAUCUUUUAUCUAUUUAAUAUUUUUUCCAAAAAACUUUCUGUUUUAUAUAAAAAUAAAAAAAAUUCCUAUUAUGGCACUUCUUUAUUUAAAAGAAUAAUAGAAAAAAAUAGAAUAAUGAGAUUGAAAAAUAACUGAUUUGACUAGGGGGAGAGAGAGAGGAACAAAAAGAAGAAAAGUCAAAAGCGAUUUAAAACAUAAAUUAUAUUUUUUACCCUAUAUUUUUACUAAAAUAUUUCUUUUAGAUUCUUUCACUUUUAAUUAUAUCAAUCAACAACUUAAACUUGAUUUUUUCAUCUAUAUAUCGUUCAAUUAAGAGUCACGAAUUUCUUUCUGUGAGGCUAUAUAAAAAUAGGAUCAUUUAAAAAAUAUAAUGGUUGAAAAAAAUAUAUGAAGUUUUUAAAAAUAUAAUUAUUUUAAAAAUAUAUCUUUAAAAAAAUCAGUUAGAAUAAUGUGAAACACAAUUGAGAAUAAAAAGAAUAAAUAGUAAAUGUUAAAUAAAUAAUUUUUUAAUAAAAUAGAAUUAGAAUAAAGAGGCUGAUAAAAUUAGUGUCAAAAAGAUGACUCAUUAAAAUAGAAUUAAUAGCUAUUGAGUUAUAAUUUAGCUCAAAUUUAGCAAGGCUGAUGCGGAUACUUUAAUGAUAUAGUGAAUCAGAUACCACUAAAAUAAUGAACAUUGUAGGUAUUGGCUACUUGUUUUAUGUGAUUAUACAUGUUUAGAGAAAAUACGAUAAAUACUAAUGUAUUAUACUAAUUUUAUCUUUUUCAUUGCUUUCUUAUAAUUUUAUAAUACAUAUUAUAUUUUUUACGAUAUUUUAUAUUAAAAUUAGAAUCUUACGAUUCUUGAUCUGAUUCUACGAUUCGAUCCACGAGUCGUCCCAUCGAGUUCCGGAUUUGCUGUCCCAAGUUUCUUGUCUCAAAAUCAUGUCCCUCACUUAAUCUGCUAUCAUGUAUAAUCUUGUUGCUUUCUCUCCAUUGAUUUCAAAUUCUGUUACUCCACACCCCUCCAUGGAGAUUGAAAUCAAUGGAGAAAAAUCAACAAAAUUACACAUGACAAUAGAUUAAGCAAGGAAAAAAAUUUUGAUACAAAAAACUUGGGACAACAGAUUCGGAGCCCUCCCAUCGAUCCAACGUGAGACCCCGAUUCCCAUCGCAUUUGUGAUAACAACACUUUCCUAUUUUCUCAUGAUAAAGGUUUACUUUUGGCAUUAUUAGGUUAAUUAAGACUAGAAGGACUUAACUCUAAUUAAUCACAUGUCAAUUGAGGGGGCCGUCUCACCUCUCUUUACGCCAAUGACUACCACUCCCCCUUGUUUUCGUUUGGUCCUUUUUUGUCGUUAUCCUCUUAAUGACAAUUAUGACCUUGGAACAUGAGCUUUGGGAGCUAAAGCAGAAGGGUAAGUUUGGAACUUUACUCUCACCAAAGUACCGACAAAUUACUACUGGUACUGGGUGUGGAGCCGCACUCUCUAAUGGCUUAGGUAGCAAGCAUUUAGAAAGUAAAAAGUGAUUAUUUUUAGAUGACUACGAAACAUGAAAAAGGAAAGUAAAAAAUACUUACUUUUGGAAAAAAGUAAGAAAUAAUAUAGAAAAAAUCAUUCAUUUUUAUUUUCAUUUUUUUCUAGUCCUCUCAUAUUUACAGACCAAAAAUUAGUAAUUUUUUUUUUACCAAAAAGUUAAAAAAAAAUAAAAAUAAAUAUAAUUCAAAUAAAAACGAUAAACUUUGUUCGGUCUAUAGCUUUGUUUUGAGUUUUUUGGUUGUUUUGAAU